rnacentral:rRNA from 1 species
GUCCAGACUCCUACGGGAGGCAGCAGUGGGGAAUAUUGCACAAUGGGGGAAACCCUGAUGCAGCGACGCCGCGUGAAGGAAGAAGUAUUUCGGUAUGUAAACUUCUAUCAGCAGGGAAGAAAAUGACGGUACCUGACUAAGAAGCCCCGGCUAACUACGUGCCAGCAGCCGCGGUAAUACGUAGGGGGCAAGCGUUAUCCGGAUUUACUGGGUGUAAAGGGAGCGUAGGCGGUAAUGCAAGUCAGAAGUGAAAGCCCGGGGCUCAACUCCGGGACUGCUUUUGAAACUGUGUUACUAGAUUGCAGGAGAGGUAAGUGGAAUUCCUAGUGUAGCGGUGAAAUGUGUAGAUAUUAGGAGGAACACCAGUGGCGAAGGCGGCUUACUGGACAGUGACUGACACUGAGGCUCGAAAGCGUGGGGAGCAAGCAGGAUUAGAUACCCUAGUAU